UCUUCCACUCACACUUAUAAGCUGACCCACUCUUCCACCCACACUUAUAAACUGAUUUCACCUAUAAAAGCCUCCAUCCUUUAACGCCUAUUCAUCCCAAAAUCAAUUCUUCUCAUUGAGCUUUCUACUUAAUUCAGUUUCCCAAUCUUGAGCUUCUUCUCAAUCAUAUUCUACAGCAGCUGAACAAUAGAAUAAUCUCAUAAUAAUUUCAUAAAACAAAGGAUCGCCUUUUACUCAACCAUCGACUGGCUUUGUGACCAGGGGGAUUAGCGCUGCUUUCCCAAGACAGGUUUUUAUGUGUAUGAUCUUCAGGCUUUGCCUAUCCAGGUGGGCUUACUUUCCAAAUGUACAAAGUAUGAUUGAGUUAUUAAGCUCUAAAUGUUUCAAUGAAAUGCAAAUUGUUUAUUUAAUGUAACGAAAACUGUUUAUCAAAUAAAAUAUUUAUGUGCACUCUGCUCUGUUUAAGGCUCGCGCAGUUAAUCAAUUGAGGUUCUCUUAUGACCUAAUACGUUGUUUGAGAAUUGUGUACACUUGUUAGUUGACUCGGUGGGUUGAUCUCCAUCGGGCUCUAACCAGAGGCGUUAUAAGGGUGCUCGGCUGGAUGUGUUCCGGAGCAUGAGAAAUAUCAGGCCUGCCUGGGUAGCGUCCCGAGGUCAAAGUAAACUUGUCUGGGUUACGCCCUCAGUUCAAGUAAGCGGGAGACAGAGAUCCGUCGGUGGCUAAAAGGUCCGGGAUCACAGCGAGUAACAGAAAGGGAGUGUGACAUGUGCGCACAAAUGAAAGAAAAUGUUUUAACAUGCUUAGAAGUACUUCUUUCAAUUUAAAACCUUCUAAGUCAUGUCAAGUAUGAUUGGAUAAACUGUCUUUAUUAAAAUAUAAAAUGUUUCAGAAAAUGCAUGCCCACUAAGUACAUUAGUACUUAGCCCAAAAAUACUUUCAAAUGUUUUCAGGUUGACUGGCCGGUGCUGACGGGACGGAGCUGAGGCUAGCGAUAAAUUCUUAUGUUAGACUUCCGCUGUAGCAAUUACUCUUAUACAUCUUUUGUUUUUCUCAACUUAAGAUGACUUCAUGUCGAGCUUAAAUUUGAAAUUCUAGUUUUAUGCUAAUGAAUGUUGGUUGUCAGAAGCAUGAAACAAAACUUGUGAUCCAAAGGGGCAUAGCCCGACUUUCUAUCCUAUUUCGGGUUUUUACAAGGUUUUUCCUUGUUUAUUUCUAUGAAUUAGUU